AACAAUUAAUAAUACUCUAAAAUCGUAACACUUUGAUGGCUGUUGUCACGUAUUCGCGACUCUAUUCACCUAUGGCAGCUGGCGGUUGUCGUCUGGCGUCACGUAGUCGUGACUUCACUCUGCCAUCUGUCGUCGGACCGCAGCAUUACUUGUACGUAGCGUUAUUUCCAUAACUCAUUUUAGUUAAAGUCAAACAGUUCGCUGCUUCCGGAACGUAAUAGCUAAGAUCAGCUGAUUUUCAUUUCACGAAACAUUUUAUAAUUGUAAAAUAUCCUGUCUCGAUAAUACUGUCUGCCUAUACAACAUCUCAUAAUGACGAGGAAAUAUACGCAGAUCUAUUGUCGGACAUAGAUAAUUUUAACUAUAGUAACUUUGGUAUUAAGUAUUAUUAAGUAACAGUGAUAAUAAGUCGUUGGACAGUGGAAGUGAUAUCGUAGAAAGAUGAUUUCGAAAUGUACAGAGAUCGGUAAUUAGUGAUUCUGACGAUGAUGGUGUAGUUUCCGAUGAGUUCGAUGGUGAUGAAAGUGAAUGGUCGCAAAAUGAUUCCAAUCCCGCUUUCCAUGACUGCAUGGAACAAUCUGAAAUACAAACACUAUGUGAACAUUUAGAUGUAAAAUCGAGCGUAGAAUUAUUUAUUGAAGAAGAAGUGCUAAACUUACUUGCAAGAGAAACAAAUCGAUAUUAUCAUCAACAAAGCUAUCAUAAUGAUACCGAUGUCGUAGAAGUAAAGAAAUUUUUGGGGUUAAUUAUCAUAAUGAGACUUGUAAAAAAAUCAGAAAAGGAUGAACAUUGGUCUACAAACGCGCUACUGUGCAUAGCUAUUUUCGAAGAUACCAGAAUUAGACCAGAAUUAGAUCUCGCGAAAUAUGAAAGCAUUGGCAUUUUAGAGACAACCAACGCAUUUAAUAAUACAUUACCAGUACAAAUCAAUAGGUACAAUUUGAAGCGUGAUGGUAUUUUAGUCUGCUGUGUAUCAGCUUUUCCUUCAGUUUUCGACUCGUUGACAUUUUUCAUUUUUAAUUCAGCUUGAAACGAAAAGUGCCAUAAAUGAUUCGACCAGCAAUUUCAGUUUUCAUAUUCCUGCUAGUUUGUCUGCCUGUAAAGAUAAUCUCGUUUAAAAUCUGACUGUAAAAUCUCACCGUAUAUAUCUGUAUAUACCUACCGUAUUGAGGGAUCUUAUUGCGUUUCUAUUGGAGAAUUUUUAGAAUCUCUGUAUCAUGAUUGUUUUGUUUGAUUGUUGUAGUGGUUCAAAAAUUUUGCAGCGCAAGUUGUUAGUAAAAUAUUAAAUAUAAAUAAGGACGUAUUGUUCGACAACAACCCUUCAGAGUUCUUAGGUUUAGAUUUUAUUUUGUGCAGAGUCCUGCAAGUUCGAUUCCUUUCAGUCGUCUUAAUGGAUUAGUUUUGUAAUCUGAGCCGGUUUAUUUGAGUUGUUUUGUAGUCCGAGUUUAUGUGCUACCGCACGUUUUCUUGCAUAUUGAUACACCCAUUUCGUAUUAAGGUGUUUGCGCAGAUCAUCAUUUCUGACGUACGAACGGACUGUUGACGAUAUCCUUACUGCAAACGAUCUGUCUUCCGUAAGCCCUACUGCAUAUGAUGACCUUAACGUUUACAUCUUCAGACAAACAGUCAUAUCUUCCAGUCGCCAGCUAUCAACUUUUCAAACAUUCGCUCAAGCAUUCUGCCUUACUAGAGGACUAGAGGCGUUUCAACGUACAAAAAUACUCCGUUGCUGCUACCGCCAAAUGCUUCCAAGUGCCUCGAGGCAUCGCAACUGCCACAACUUCGCAUACUGCUUAUGCUCUGCCGCCAGACACCUCCAGGACAGUAUCUCUAGGAGUCGUAGAUUUUAUUCAUACAUGCAAAUGCACGCGUGCAAGAGGUAAAUCUAUAUAUUAAUAUAAGUAAAAAGUAUGAACAUGCGAAAUAUGAAUAAAUGGAUAUACCGCCCUGUAUACCUUAGUUUCAAGUUAUGGAUGACUAAAGAAACUGUUCAAAGUGCUCUCCUCGUGUUCUUUCUGCAAAAGAAUUUCUUAACAUUACCCUGGCAAACCGAUGGAUAGAGCGAGAUGAAUCCAUUGGGUUUUUGGUUUUGGGCUCAUUUAAAAUUUAUUGUGUAUUCAACGCGAGUAAACAACGUAUACGAUCUGUAAGAAAUCUGUGCAAAAUAGAGUCGAAGCUGUUCGAAGAAUGGUACUUUUGGCACUUUUCAGCCAGUACGGAAGUCAAUGUUAAGGCGUGCAGCAGCUUGUUGAACCACACGAGGCGAACUCUUCGAACGUUUUCGUUAAACGUAAUAUAUAACUCGAGUAAGUGUAUAAUUAAAAUAUUUAAAACGUUUUCGUUUUCACCAGCCAAAUAUGCACGUAUGCAAAAUCUAACUACAUGGGAAAUAAAAACUAUAUUUAGAAUAUAAUAUAUCUAAUGGCAAAACGAAUUUCUAUCUAGAUUCCAUAACGUAUAAUGUACGUAUUCCCUGCAAAAAUAUGCAUUUGCAUAAAGAUCCACCGUCUAAUGAUAAGCUAAUGAUUCGCGAAUCAACGAUACUGAACGUUUCCUACAGUAAGAUGCAUUGAACAACGCAUAAAGAUAAUUCAACGCAGUGAUUGCAUUUAAAAAACGUAGCUGAUCUUUACAUUCUUCGCGUGUCCACCUGCAAAGAAACUGUCAACAUCAAAUGAUGUCUUCCUCGACGACAUUUAACACCAGUUUGAAAAGUUUUUUAAUACAGUAUGUAAUUUUGUAAUAAUUCAAAAUCAUGAAGUUAGAUGUUCUUACUUUUACUAUAUUGUCUCUUAAUAUAUAAUUAUGAUAUAUAUGAUAUAUAUAUAUAUCAUACACCAUAUACUUAUUUUAUUGCUUACUAUGUGUUCCUUUGUAAUCAGUACCUCGCAUACAAUACCGAUACAUAUGAUGCAGAAGCUUUCAAAAUCUAGAAAAUUAAACAAUAAAAGUGAUAACAUACGGUACACGAAAUAUGCGUAUUUUUGUGUUUUUUUUUUCUUUUUUUUUUUUAACCAUAUAAUAUGCCAAUACUAAGUUGUGAGAUCAAAAGCUUCCGCCUUCUGUCUUAUUGACACUUAACUAUAUAUGUAAUUUCAUCUUGACAUCAUGAAACAUAAUUGAAAGAUAAUUCAAACGAAGUUAAUUAAACAAUUUUUAACAAAUACAUAUAAAAAGCUGUUCUUCAGUUUAUCAAAAGUUUCGUUAAAAAAUAUGCAAGAACUACUUCGUGGAAUCUUAUUAUUGUAAAUUCUUCUACC